rnacentral:lncRNA from 1 species
GGCGAAUUAUUUAUCCUUAAAUUGUUAAUAAAUACUAUAUCCAUUCAUGAAAGAAUCAAUUUUUAGAGUUGUCCUAAGUUAAUUUUUUAAACUUUGACCAAAUUUCUAGAAACAAAUGCUAAGAUUGAUGGUAUCAAAUUAGUAUCAUUAGAUUCAUCAUAGAAUAUAUUUUUAUAGGAUGUAUAUUUUAUGAUAUAGAUGUUGUUAUUUUUUUUAUAAAGUU